GAUGAAGAACGCAGCGAAAUGCGAUAACUAAUGUGAAUUGCAGAAUUCAGUGAAUCAUCGAGUCUUUGAACGCACAUUGCGCCCCCUGGUAUUCCGGGGGGCAUGCCUGUCCGAGCGUCAUUGCUGCCCUCAAGCACGGCUUGUGUGUUGGGCUCCGUCCCCCCGGGGACGGGUCCGAAAGGCAGCGGCGGCACCGAGUCCGGUCCUCGAGCGUAUGGGGCUUUGUCACCCGCUCUGUAGGCCCGGCCGGCGCCAGCCGACAACCAAUCAUCCUUUUUUCAGGUUGACCUCGGAUCAGGUAGGGAUACCCGCUGAACUUAAGCAUACAAUAAGCGGAGGA
rnacentral:misc_RNA from 1 species